rnacentral:rRNA from 1 species
CAGUAGCGGCGGGAAUACAGAGGGUGCGAGCGUUAAUCGGAUUUACUGGGCGUAAAGCGUGCGUAGGCGGCUUCUUAAGUCGGAUGUGAAAUCCCUGAGCUUAACUUAGGAAUUGCAUUCGAUACUGGGAAGCUAGAGUAUGGGAGAGGAUGGUAGAAUUCCAGGUGUAGCGGUGAAAUGCGUAGAGAUCUGGAGGAAUACCGAUGGCGAAGGCAGCCAUCUGGCCUAAUACUGACGCUGAGGUACGAAAGCAUGGGGAGCAAACAGGAUUAGAUACCCCUGUAGUCCCUGUCUCUUAUAC